GCUCCUGUAGUUAAAUGGAUAUAACAAGUGCCUCCUAAGCGCUAGUUCCAAGUUCGAUUCUCGGCGGGGGCACCA
rnacentral:tRNA from 5 species